rnacentral:rRNA from 1 species
UACGUAGGGUGCAAGCGUUGUCCGGAAUUACUGGGCGUAAAGAGCUCGUAGGCGGCUUGUCGCGUCGGCUGUGAAAACCUGGGGCUCAACCCCGGGCCUGCAGCCGAUACGGGCAAGCUAGAAUUCGGUAGGGGAGACUGGAAUUCCUGGUGUAGCGGUGAAAUGCGUAGAGAUCGGAAGGAACACCAACGGCGAAAGCACUCUGCUGGGCCGACACUGACACUGAGAGACGAAAGCUAGGGGAGCGAAUGGG